GCGGCGGACGGGUGAGUAACACGUGGGUAACCUGCCCAUAAGACUGGGAUAACUCCGGGAAACCGGGGCUAAUACCGGAUAACAUUUUGAACUGCAUGGUUCGAAAUUGAAAGGCGGCUUCGGCUGUCACUUAUGGAUGGACCCGCGUCGCAUUAGCUAGUUGGUGAGGUAACGGCUCACCAAGGCAACGAUGCGUAGCCGACCUGAGAGGGUGAUCGGCCACACUGGGACUGAGACACGGCCCAGACUCCUACGGGAGGCAGCAGUAGGGAAUCUUCCGCAAUGGACGAAAGUCUGACGGAGCAACGCCGCGUGAGUGAUGAAGGCUUUCGGGUCGUAAAACUCUGUUGUUAGGGAAGAACAAGUGCUAGUUGAAUAAGCUGGCACCUUGACGGUACCUAACCAGAAAGCCACGGCUAACUACGUGCCAGCAGCCGCGGUAAUACGUAGGUGGCAAGCGUUAUCCGGAAUUAUUGGGCGUAAAGCGCGCGCAGGUGGUUUCUUAAGUCUGAUGUGAAAGCCCACGGCUCAACCGUGGAGGGUCAUUGGAAACUUGGGAGACUUGAGUGCAGAGAGAAGUGG
rnacentral:rRNA from 1 species